GAUGAACGCUGGCGGCGUGCCUAAUACAUGCAAGUCGAGCGAAUGGAUUAAGAGCUUGCUCUUAUGAAGUUAGCGGCGGACGGGUGAGUAACACGUGGGUAACCUGCCCAUAAGACUGGGAUAACUCCGGGAAACCGGGGCUAAUACCGGAUAACAUUUGAACCGCAUGGUUCGAAAUUGAAAGACGGCUUCGGCUGUCACUUAUGGAUGGACCCGCGUCGCAUUAGCUAGUUGGUGAGGUAACGGCUCACCAAGGCAACGAUGCGUAGCCGACCUGAGAGGGUGAUCGGCCACACUGGGACUGAGACACGGCCCAGACUCCUACGGGAGGCAGCAGUAGGGAAUCUUCCGCAAUGGACGAAAGUCUGACGGAACAACGCCGCGUGAGUGAUGAAGGCUUUCGGGUCGUAAAACUCUGUUGUUAGGGAAGAACAAGUGCUAGUUGAAUAAGCUGGCACCUUGACGGUACCUAACCAGAAAGCCACGGCUAACUACGUGCCAGCAGCCGCAGUAA
rnacentral:rRNA from 1 species